UCCUGCCUACCACUUGAAGACGUUCCUUGAGGAGGUUUGAAAAAGUUUCGCUAAUCGCCGUUGACAGUGCCUGGCUCAGUCCUCAAAAGCAGAUUGGAACUGAUUGUGUCCAUUGGGUUCUCCAGGAAGCAGAUGCUAAAAUGGAAUGAAGAGCGAACAAUUGAUUGGUGGUAACCUGUGGAAGACAAGAGGAGCUGAAACCAGGCCUGGAAAGGCUCAAAUCACCAUGAUAAGGUCUCAGUCAAUUCAGUGGAGGGUGGGAGCAUUAGAAAGAAUGGCCCUGCAUCAUUAACUGGGGACACCUGGGGAUAACUGCAGUUGGUUGAGGCACAUGGGGUGGGUAGGUUUACCUGGAGACUGUCAGCCAACCAACUCUCCCUACAGAGUGACAUGAAGGGUUUCUGGGGGAGGGAAAUCAGGGACAUACUCCUUCAUUGUUGACACAGAUUAAUUUUUUCCACUGCCCCACCUCUAAAAUCUUCAACAUCCUGCUUUCUCACCUUAAGGUCAUAUCUUUCCAACAGUCACUACCUUACAUUUGUUCUUUGAUUGUGAAACUUCCACGCCCUCAUUUCCUUCACCUUCAACAUUUCAGCCCUGUCUUGUUUUCCUUGCUUGAGCCAUUUUGUUCCAACCUCUUUAAACAGACUGCCCCCUUUCCCUUCAUGCCUCCAUGGCAAAACCCUGUUAUCUGCUGUAUUUUCCCCCAUUACUCCAGCUACUGGUUGCAACUAAAGAAAACCACUCGGCACUGUAGAUUUAAUGUCACAGUUUCCAAUCUUGGCUGAAUUCUAUAUACUACACAGAAAUUCUAUUAGCACUUGAGUACUUUCUUCUCCAAUGAAAUCUGAAGAAAAAUCUUAUAACUUUUAUUUACAACAUGUUGGAGAGCAUGAUGGGGGGCAAACAAGGUUUUAGAAUCCUGGGAAUCAGACUAAAUUGUAGCUCUUUACUUCCUGUAUGGUUGCCAAACUCCUCUGGAUCUUUUCCCCAAUGCUGAAGUGGAAUUAAUAGUUACUCUUCAUGAGAAAUGAUUGUUUUGAAGAUGACAUAAAGAUGUAAAGGUGGCUUACUGAUAACUCUCAAAUAAUUGAAAAUACAUUAGUUGAAGUGUUUUCGCUUCAGUUACUACUACCAGUUAUACAGAGAACCAAUUUUUCUACAGAGAGUAACUCAAUCUAAUUGCAUAAUGUGUUAAAUACUUUUAGUUAUUAAGAAUUCCCUUCUCCCCUAGAGCAAAGUUUAGAGAGGAGGAUUAUGUGCAUGCCUGUGGGUCAUGAAGAAAUGAUCUGCUUUCUGCUUUCUUCCAUCCCUCCCACAUACCCUUGAGGACCCAAGACAGGCAGGGAAGAAUUUAAUCUCCUUAUGCAAGUGCUGUCAAGGAUGCUCUCUCCUUUCACCGUAAAUGAUCUUGCUUCUUUUCAUAAGCUCAGUACAAAACCAGCUAGUGACUGCAAGUUCUACCAACCAAGGUGUCAGUACAAGCAGUUCCAGUAAACAUCAGUAGUCUCUGGGGAUACUAGAUGUCUUGGCUGGACUCCAUUCUUCCCACUGCCACACCUUCUCCCAAGCCCUGCUUCAGUGUUCCAGAUCUUACCUACUUUUGCACUGGGAUUGCAAAUCCAGCUCUAAAGCAAAGAUACAGGCACUGGCCAGGCCACCAAACCCAGUAGCUAAGCAGACAGUCACGUGGGAGUUAUCAAGACAUCGUAAUUGAAGAAUCAAGGAGUCUAUUACCUUGGAUUCAAAGAAUUUAGUAAAUAUUUCUUAACACUGUAAUAUUUCACCAUAAUUCCUAGUAUAAUUAGUAACCUUAAAGGAAAGAUCAGGAAAAGAUAGCAAGCUAUACUCUAUUCUUAGACAUGAAUAAAAAACAUAUUAUGCAACUGA